AACGCACCUUGCGCUCCUUGGUAUUCCGAGGAGCAUGCCUGUUUGAGUGUCAUGGAAUCAUCAACUCUUUUCCUUCUUUGUUGAAGGGAUUGAGCUUGGACUUGGAGGUUUUAUGCCGGCCUUUGUGGGUCGGCUCCUCUUGAAUGCAUUAGCUUGAACCUUUGCUGCAUCAGCUGUUCGGUGUGAUAAUUGUCUACGCCGUCACUGUGAAGCAUUACAUUUUUGUGGGGUUCAGCUUCUAACCGUCCUGUAAAAGGGACAACAUCAUAAUUGACCUCUGACCUCAAAUCAGGUAGGAUUACCCGCUGAACUUAA
rnacentral:rRNA from 1 species